rnacentral:rRNA from 1 species
AACGAAGCGGCUGCAGGGAUUCCCCUCGGGGAGGAACAGUAGCUGUCUGAGUGGCGGACGGGUGAGUAACGCGUGGGCAACCUGCCCCAUACCGGGGGAUAACAGCCGGAAACGGCUGCUAAUACCGCAUACGCCCAGGAGGCUGCAUAGCUUCCUGGGGAAAACUCCGGUGGUAUGGGAUGGGCCCGCGUCUAAUUAGCUCGUUGGCGGGGUAACGGCCCACCAAGGCGACGAUCAGUAGCCGGCCUGAGAGGGCGGCCGGCCACAUUGGGACUGAGACACGGCCCAGACUCCUGCGGGAGGCAGCAGUGGGGAAUAUUGCACAAUGGGGGAAACCCUGAUGCAGCGACGCCGCGUGAGCGAUGAAGUAUCUCGGUAUGUAAAGCUCUAUCAGCAGGGAAGAAAGAAACAAUACCUGACUAAGAAGCCCCGGCUAACUACGUGCCAGCAGCCGCGGUAAUACGUAGGGGGCAAGCGUUAUCCGGAUUCACUGGGCGUAAAGGGAGCGCAGGCGGCACGGCAAGUCUGGUGUGAAAACCCGGGGUUCAACCCCGGGACUGCAUUGGAAACUGCCGGGCUGGAGUGUCGGAGGGGUAAGCGGAAUUCCUAGUGUAGCGGUGAAAUGCGUAGAUAUU